GGAUCCAGACUUUGAUCAUGGCUCAGGAUGAACGCUAGCUACAGGCUUAACACAUGCAAGUCGAGGGGCAGCGGGAUUGAAGCUUGCUUCAAUUGCCGGCGACCGGCGCACGGGUGAGUAACGCGUAUCCAAUCUUCCGUACACUCAGGGAUAGCCUUUCGAAAGAAAGAUUAAUACCUGAUAGUAUCUUAAGCACACAUGCAAUUAAGAUUAAAGAUUUAUCGGUGUACGAUGGGGAUGCGUUCCAUUAGGUAGUAGGCGGGGUAACGGCCCACCUAGCCAACGAUGGAUAGGGGUUCUGAGAGGAAGGUCCCCCACAUUGGAACUGAGACACGGUCCAAACUCCUACGGGAGGCAGCAGUGAGGAAUAUUGGUCAAUGGACGAGAGUCUGAACCAGCCAAGUAGCGUGAAGGAUGAAGGUCCUACGGAUUGUAAACUUCUUUUAUAAGGGAAUAAACCCUCCCACGUGUGGGAGCUUGUAUGUACCUUAUGAAUAAGCAUCGGCUAACUCCGUGCCAGCAGCCGCGGUAAUACGGAGGAUGCGAGCGUUAUCCGGAUUUAUUGGGUUUAAAGGGAGCGCAGACGGGUCGUUAAGUCAGCUGCGAAAGUUUGGGGCUCAACCUUAAAAUUGCAGUUGAUACUGGCGUCCUUGAGUGCGGUUGAGGUGUGCGGAAUUCGUGGUGUAGCGGUGAAAUGCUUAGAUAUCACGAAGAACUCCGAUUGCGAAGGCAGCACACUAAUCCGUAACUGACGUUCAUGCUCGAAAGUGUGGGUAUCAAACAGGAUUAGAUACCCUGGUAGUCCACACGGUAAACGAUGGAUACUCGCUGUUGGCGAUAUACUGUCAGCGGCUUAGCGAAAGCGUUAAGUAUCCCACCUGGGGAGUACGCCGGCA
rnacentral:rRNA from 1 species